rnacentral:lncRNA from 1 species
UAGAAAAGCAUUAUUCCAACACAACUUCAGACUGAAAAGACAAGAUCACCACAUCUGGCACCAAACAGAGGAGCAUUCCGGAGAUGACAGCAGCUGCCUUCUAAGUUUGUAAAAUGAGAAGGACCAGCCACUAAGAAAUAAGAGAGACAAAAUGCAGGUAGUAGCUCAGUACCUGUUCACACAAGAAAUGUGGCAGGAGAGAAAAGUAGGUCUACCUCCUGAAGAAAGACAGGAAUCGAGAAAGGUGCUAACAUUUGAAAAUUAGUUCAGUCCAUAACUACAUUCAGACAUCUCCCCAGCAUCCAACUUAGUUUUUCAGAAGCUGCAGUGUAUACAGUGAAAGACCUAUGGAAAGCUUGCAGUGGAAGGCUGCCCUGGGAAACUCAUCUCCCUUCUUCCAUCAGAAGAUGUAAGGCAAGUCAUUUAAACUAAAUAGGUAUUGUAUGCUCUCCUUGUUUAGAGAGACUGCAUUCAGAUUUAAGUAUGAUCUCACAAUGAAGGUAUAAAACAUGAACUCAAGUUUCCACUUCUCUAAAAUAUCUGGUCCUACACAUCUAAGCACUGAGAAAGAGAAUCACAGAGUACCCUUGUUUCUACUUCUCUAGGUCUGUUUCCUAACUUGAAAACCACUAUCAUAGCUCUCAUGCACAGGGAAGCUGAAAAAACACAACUUGGAAAUUACCAAUACCGUAAGAAACAUCACUAAAAACAGU